CGCGCUGUAAAAUCUAACGGACGUUGGUACAGUUUUUGUUGGGGCAGACACAACCGAACAGCGCUCUCCAUAAACAGGUGGAAUUACCUCUGGGUCGGACAGGGCUAGCCAGCUGUAAUCCACCCUGCUACGGUGAUGCCCGCCUGCCUCCCGGCUUUUACGACCAAGAAUCGGAGCGCUGAUGUGAUGUUUCCCCGUCGACUGAUGAGGCAUGAGGGAAGGAAGAGAAGGCAGCCACGACACGCGAUUGUUCAACAUGACAGUGAGACAGAAAAAUAAUGUCAAGAUAAAUAAAAAAUCAUGAUGAGUGAA